rnacentral:snRNA from 1 species
CGCACAAUUGGUCAUCGCG